ensembl:snRNA U6 U6 spliceosomal RNA
GUGCUCGCUUCAGCAGCACAUAUACUAAAAUUGGAACGAUACAGAGAAGAUUAGCAUGACCCCUGCGCAAUUCAGCAAUGACAGUCCCCACAUAAGU